CUUCUUGGAUGAGUUGCGAACGGGUGAGUAACGCGUAGGUAACCUGCCUUGUAGCGGGGGAUAACUAUUGGAAACGAUAGCUAAUACCGCAUAACAAUGGAUGACACAUGUCAUUUAUUUGAAAGGGGCAAUUGCUCCACUACAAGAUGGACCUGCGUUGUAUUAGCUAGUAGGUGAGGUAAUGGCUCACCUAGGCGACGAUACAUAGCCGACCUGAGAGGGUGAUCGGCCACACUGGGACUGAGACACGGCCCAGACUCCUACGGGAGGCAGCAGUAGGGAAUCUUCGGCAAUGGGGGCAACCCUGACCGAGCAACGCCGCGUGAGUGAAGAAGGUUUUCGGAUCGUAAAGCUCUGUUGUAAGUCAAGAACGGGUGUGAGAGUGGAAAGUUCACACUGUGACGGUAGCUUACCAGAAAGGGACGGCUAACUACGUGCCAGCAGCCGCGGUAAUACGUAGGUCCCGAGCGUUGUCCGGAUUUAUUGGGCGUAAAGCGAGCGCAGGCGGUUUGAUAAGUCUGAAGUUAAAGGCUGUGGCUCAACCAUAGUUCGCUUUGGAAACUGUCAAACUUGAGUGCAGAAGGGGAGAGUGGAAUUCCAUGUGUAGCGGUGAAAUGCGUAGAUAUAUGGAGGAACACCGGUGGCGAAAGCGGCUCUCUGGUCUGUAACUGACGCUGAGGCUCGAAAGCGUGGGGAGCGAACAGGAUUAGAUACCCUGGUAGUCCACGCCGUAAACGAUGAGUGCUAGGUGUUGGAUCCUUUCCGGGAUUCAGUGCCGCAGCUAACGCAUUAAGCACUCCGCCUGGGGAGUACGACCGCAAGGUUGAAACUCAAAGGAAUUGACGGGGGCCCGCACAAGCGGUGGAGCAUGUGGUUUAAUUCGAAGCAACGCGAAGAACCUUACCAGGUCUUGACAUCCCGAUGCUAUUUCUAGAGAUAGAAAGUUACUUCGGUACAU
rnacentral:rRNA from 1 species